UUAACCGAAUAGGGGAGCCGGAGGGAAACCGAGUCUUAAUUGGGCGUUAAGUUGCAGGGUAUAGACCCGAAACCCGGUGAUCUAGCCAUGGGCAGGUUGAAGGUUGGGUAACACUAACUGGAGGACCGAACCGACUAAUGUUGAAAAAUUAGCGGAUGACCUGUGGCUGGGGGUGAAAGGCCAAUCAAACCGGGAGAUAGCUGGUUCUCCCCGAAAGCUAUUUAGGUAGCGCCUCGUGAAUUCAUCUCCGGGGGUAGAGCACUGUUUCGGCUAGGGGGCCAUCCCGGCUUACCAACCCGAUGCAAACUGCGAAUACCGGAGAAUGUUAUCACGGGAGACACACGGCGGGUGCUAACGUCCGUCGUGAAGAGGGAAACAACCCAGACCGCCAGCUAAGGUCCCAAAGUCAUGGUUAAGUGGGAAACGAUGUGGGAAGGCCCAGACAGCCAGGAUGUUGGCUUAGAAGCAGCCAUCAUUUAAAGAAAGCGUAAUAGCUCACUGGUCGAGUCGGCCUGCGCGGAAGAUGUAACGGGGCUAAACCAUGCACCGAAGCUGCGGCAGCGACGCUGAUGCGUUGUUGGGUAGGGGAGCGUUCUGUAAGCCUGCGAAGGUGGCCUGUGAGGGUUGCUGGAGGUAUCAGAAGUGCGAAUGCUGACAUAAGUAACGAUAAAGCGGGUGAAAAGCCCGCUCGCCGGAAGACCAAGGGUUCCUGUCCAACGUUAAUCGGGGCAGGGUGAGUCGACCCCUAAGGCGAGGCCGAAAGGCGUAGUCGAUGGGAAACGGGUUAAUAUUCCCGUACUUGGUGUUACUGCGAAGGGGGGACGGAGAAGGCUAUGUUGGCCGGGCGACGGUU
rnacentral:rRNA from 2 species